rnacentral:rRNA from 1 species
GAUGAACGCUAGCUACAGGCUUAACACAUGCAAGUCGAGGGGAAACGAUAUUGGAAGCUUGCUUCUGAUAGGCGUCGACCGGCGCACGGGUGAGUAACGCGUAUCCAACCUGCCCAUCACUUGGGGAUAACCUUGCGAAAGUAAGACUAAUACCCAAUGACGUCUCUAGAAGACAUCUGAAAGAGAUUAAAGAUUUAUCGGUGAUGGAUGGGGAUGCGUCUGAUUAGCUUGUUGGCGGGGUAACGGCCCACCAAGGCGACGAUCAGUAGGGGUUCUGAGAGGAAGGUCCCCCACAUUGGAACUGAGACACGGUCCAAACUCCUACGGGAGGCAGCAGUGAGGAAUAUUGGUCAAUGGACGAGAGUCUGAACCAGCCAAGUAGCGUGCAGGAUGACGGCCCUAUGGUUGUAAACUGCUUUUAUAAGGGAAUAAAGUGGGAGUCGUGACUCUUUUUGCAUGUACCUUAUGAAUAAGGACCGGCUAAUUCCGUAGCCAGCAG